UGCAAGUCGAACGGUGAAGGCGGAGCUUGCUCUGCCGGAUCAGUGGCGAACGGGUGAGUAACACGUGGGCAACCUGCCCUUCACUCUGGAAUAACCCCGGGAAACCGGGGCUAAUACCGGAUACGACCCCUGCAGGCAUCUGCGGGGGUGGAAAGUUUUCGGUGAAGGAUGGGCCCGCGGCCUAUCAGCUUGUUGGUGAGGCAGUGGCUCACCAAGGCGACGACGGGUAGCCGGCCUGAGAGGGCGACCGGCCACACUGGGACUGAGACACGGCCCAGACUCC
rnacentral:rRNA from 1 species